CCUACGGGAGGCAGCAGUGGGGAAUAUUGCACAAUGGGGGGAACCCUGAUGCAGCGACGCCGCGUGGGUGAAGGAGUACUUCGGUAUGUAAAGCCCUUUCAGCAGGAAAGAAAAUGACGGUACCUGACUAAGAAGCCCCGGCUAACUACGUGCCAGCAGCCGAGGUAAUACGUAGGGGGCAAGCGUUAUCCGGAUUUACUGGGCGUAAAGGGAGUGUAGGCGGGUGGGGAAGUCCGGUGUGAAAGCCCGGAGCUUAACCCUGGAACUGCCGUGGAAACUGUAAAGCUGGAGUGAGGGAGAGGCAGGCGGAAUUCGUGGUGUAGCGGUGAAAUGCGUAGAUAUCAGGCAGAACACCGGCGGCGAAGGCGGCCUGCUGGACCGUAACUGACGUUGAGGCUCGAAAGCGUGGGGAGCAAACAGGAUUAGAUACCCGUGUAGUC
rnacentral:rRNA from 1 species